rnacentral:miRNA from 1 species
GUUGGUGCAAAAGUAAUUGCAGUUUUUGCUGUUACUUGUAACAGCAAAAACUGCAAUUACUUUUUCAGUAAUGUAAUAUUUA